UUGCUUUGGAGAGGCAUGCGUCACGUCUCUUGUCUAUAAGCGCGGUUCACUGACCAAGGUUCAUUGUGCACGAUAUUCGUCGCGAGCGACAAGUGAAAUAUUCAACAUUCGCGGCUUUAUUUCGUGCCCGUGGUCGCGAGCCGGCGAUAAAUGAGCAUUUGCAUAUUUUACGACCGCGCGGAAGAGAGAGAGAGAAACUCGCGGUACCUACAUUUACAUAUCGCGACGGUAAUCGGAGUAUUCCGUACGAAUUAUUGCGCAAGAAAGAUUGAAGCUAUAUCGCUUUUAUAAAAAGAUUUUACGUGCCCUCGUAAAUAAUUUUAUGCAUCGUAUUUUUUCUUUUUUACAGGUUUAUGUAGUUUCGCGCGAAAUUGCUCUCCCUUGGCUCGGCUAAUAAUCCAUCUUUGCGGCGCGGAGUAUCUUACGGCCUCACCACGCUGACCUUACUCUCCGCGGUCGUCGGUACAAAGUAACCGGAGCGGCUUUCGCGUGCAUUUACUCCGAUGGCUAUAAUUCAGCGUUUGUGUUCAGCCCGCAUUGAAGCACGCGGAGGUCGUGCGUCCUUAUCCAAGGCUGACUAAUUCCCGGAAUUGGCCCCUGCAAGACCUGCCGGCAAACGCGCGCGCGUAUAUAGGUUCUCUCUUUCGCGUGUCCUUACAUACUGAUUCAUCGAUCUGCAUUGAACUUUAUACACGGCUUUCAAGUAGGAAGUGCCUCAUUAACGCUUUGCUAGCCGCGGACAAAAUACUCGCCCUUAUCAGGGCUCCUUUAUCUCGUGAAAAGGUGCAGUAUUACGUCAACGGUUCCCAGCUGUGAACAAAAAGAAUGCGUGCUGCUACGUCAACGAUCGCAAAAAAAAAGACGUUAAAAUUGUAACUGCGGCGGCGAGACGGAAGCCCUAACGCUAUAACUCUCUCGAUACGCAUCACGAUUGAACGUCGCUGCAGCGAUUCCGAUUUCCGGGGACAUUUUCAUGGUACGCGGUUUAUAAUUAGUGUUACAUUUCGCAAAACGCGUCGGCGCUUUGUUGCGGGCGCGACCGCGUAUACGUACACGAUUUAUCGAUCCGAAACCGAUUACACGGUUCCGUGGCGCGCGUAGACCCGUGUAUACAUUUUCCGACACAGAGAUACAAGCGUGCGCGCGCGAGUCAUGAGCGUACGCGUCAAGUUUUGUGUAUGUGUGUGUGAGAGCGUCGCGCAUAUGCACGUGCACAUGUCACUUCGCGACCGCCAAUGUCGCCGACAGUCACGGCCGCGCGCGCGGGACUUCGCGUUUUCGCAGUCCUCUAUUUUCUCGCCGUUAGUUAUUUUUGAAACGCGACCGUAUGUAUGUACAGCAGCGUCCGUCAUCGGCAGACAUUAGCCGUUUUGUCUCUACUCGCCUUUACACACGAGAGCGCCUCUUAUAUAUAGGAGAGAAAUAUAUAUAAUCUAUAUUUUACUCGGAUGAGACAGAGAGACAGAAAGAGAGAGAGAGAGAGAGAGAGCAAGAGACAGAAAUGCAUUCGUUUCGGAGUCGAUUUUUCUUUAGCGUUUAAAUUCCCCACGUGGUUUACAUGCCAAUUUCAAAACAUUGUCUGAUUUAUCUCGGGACGCGUUCGCUCCGACGCGACGGAGAGAAAUUUCGUAUGGGACGUUUACUUGCUAAAAUAUUCAAUGUUGCAAAUUGAGCGAGUCUCGAGUCGAAUGACGAAUGACAUCCUGUGACGUUUUUCGCUAAGGAGAGAUCGGCUCCGAAUCGCAUGCCAGAAAUUUGUCUGAGAUGCGUGUAUGAAUACACAUAUGCAAGAGCAUAAUAUUUUAUUAUUUUACGUUUUUGUAAGAAUAUACAACUUCUCAGAGAGAAGUUCGCUUUGGAGAAGUUGCACAAAUCCAGAUAGCAGUUUCUAAAAAAAAAUGACACGUUAAUUUAUUUACGAGCGAAGUUAAUUUAUCACGCUGUCGAAGGGGCGAGAAAAAAUACUCGAUAGUUAAUUAAUACGAGAAUGGCGAGAAAUAUUAUAUAUGCCGCGAGCGGUCUCGAGCUGAUAUCUCUGCUGCAGGCUUCGCUAGUCGCGGACUCGUACGAUUGCGUGCUCAUUAUCGCCGUAUUCGGCCGUUACGCUGUCGACACAUAUGUGCCGCACGUGGGACCGACGCGAUAUGCAUAGAUAAGUGCCUCCGAUGAACACGAGCCAAAUGACGACGCGUCGCGCGUAGCGCGGCAGAGGGAAUUAAGCGCGCGCGACACGCGAUUUAUAAAGCUUUUAUAUUCUUGGGCACACGAGGCGCGGAGUUCAUUUCGAUUAUCGCGCAAAACCGGUCGUCGAGAAGGAUAUCUGCGUGUAUCUAUUAAUUUGCUAAUAACUUGUUUCUUUCGAAACUGUAAUUAACGAUGCUCAUAAACAGGAAACGAGAUCGGGAUAAAAAAAAAAGGGAAAAUCUGUGUUAACUGCGGCCUUCACGUUCAAACGGUUUUACAAAGUAGCGCAAUUGUAUUAAUGUCAACGAGAGAGUUUUCAGCGAAUAGCGAUAGUAUAUAUAACAUUAAACACCGAGAUAACUUUCCAAACGUAAUGUAACAUUUAUCGCUUUCUUGCUCUAUCAAUCAAACUACUCCCAUCGAGGCCGGUCUUGUACGUCUCUUCGCGUUGGCCACGUCGCGCGUUUGUUUGGACUUUGCAGAUAGAAGAGAGAGAGAGAGAGAGAGGAAAAAAAUUCGGAGAGAUAUAGAAAGCACAACCGAGAGAAAUAGCUACGCACAUGCAUGCAUGCAUGCAUGCAUGCAUGCGUGCAUACACUCGUACAUACGUCGCGGUGCGGGCGCGAAUUAAUAUCAUUAGAGCCGCUUAUCACGGACGCUCUUAUCGCGCCGCGCGUAAAUCACCCACCUGGUUGAUAGGGAGUCGCCGUGAAAUUACUGCACCUUCCCAAAUGAUAAUGCCGUUUCUCUGCUCGCAGAUUUCGCUGGGAUGGAGAAAAUCGGGCGCGCCGCAGCUCGCGUAAUUGGAUCAAAUUCUCGUGGAUCGUCGUAGCUAUCGAUCGAGAGCAAUAUCGCUGUCAAAUGCGAACGGCGAGGAUUAUCGGCGGCACUAGGAGUCCGACUCUCGAGGAUGAAAUGAUAUAGCUGCGGCUACAACUGCAGUUUUAUUCGACGGCGCACUUCGUCGCCAACACUUCGCCGUCGAUCGUCCGUCACGGAGUUGUCACGCACUCCGCAUCCUUAUUAUAGAUAUGUGUAUCAGCGGCAGCGCAAGUGUGAACGCAAUCGAACGCGCGAAUAAUUUUUACGUAACGAUUCCGAACGGGUGAUUCGUCCAACCAGCGACGUUCGACGUCUCUCUCGUCGGGAUUUAAUCUCAUACAAUAUUUAUAUAACGAAUGAUAUAUAGACGUUCAGGAUAAUGUGACGACGGUCGUAUAUUAAAUUGAGCGUAAUCGCGCGAAUACUUCAAGGAGAGGCAAUUGCGUCUCUAUCUCCCGAUACAUAUAUCUCCUUUCGUCGUUUCGACGCCGACCUACCUCAACGAGCGCGCGAUUGCCGCGAUCUUCAGUACCACCACGUUAAAACCUUCCGCGAGACGAGUAUCACCGCGCGUACGUCACACUCGGACGCGUAUAUCUCCCCGUUAUAAAUUAUAUGUAUAGAUAUAACGGAGUUCCUCUCGCGAAUUUAACACGCUCCUCUCCUCUUGUCGGAGGAUACGGCGCACCAUCACCAGGGACCACCAACGUCGUCGGAGCCCGCGUCCUGUCGCGUUUCGCGCGCGUCCGCCCGUGUCCUUUCCGUGUCGUGUUGGGUCGGGGGAUCGAUUCUCGGCGGAGCGGGAGGCGCGGCGCCGCGCGGAAACGCGCCUUUCCGAAUGCGAGAGAUCGCGAAACGCUCCGCAGCCGUCGGAUAUAUAUGCUUUUCUCGUGCGCGGUCUCUAUAUCACGAUAACGCGCCGCGACUGGCAUGACGGGCGUACCGGUCGCUCCCGGCGACGGCCCGCGAGGUACGUACGACCCGGUAACAUUUUCGCAGUACGGGGGAAACAACACUGGCCCGCCGCAAGCCGCAAACACUGCCGACGACGGCACCACGCCGCCUGCGCCGCGUAUCGAUUUGCGUCGCGACGCCCGACACGAGUCGUCAGUAGCGCCUUCGCCCCGAUCGGAGUUCCCCCUGCGAAUCAUUAGCCUGAUAAUUACUAACGAGAUGGUCCCCUAAACUCGACGCUGCCUCCCGAAUGUGAUUCUGGGCAGAGUACUUUGUAAAUAUGUCGAUUUUUCGUGCACUGCUGAAAAUAUCAAAGAGAAUCAGAGAACAAUACUCUUGAAAAUUUUAUUUGAUAAGAGAAAAAAUAUUUUAUAUACCUAUUAAGAAAAAGUAAA